rnacentral:rRNA from 1 species
AUGAACGCUGGCGGCGUGCUUAACACAUGCAAGUCGAACGGUGAAAGAGAGCUUGCUCUCUGGAUCAGUGGCGAACGGGUGAGUAACACGUGAGCAAUCUGCCCCUGACUCUGGGAUAAGCGCUGGAAACGGCGUCUAAUACCGGAUACGAGCUGCGAAGGCAUCUUCAGCAGCUGGAAAGAACUUCGGUCAGGGAUGAGCUCGCGGCCUAUCAGCUAGUUGGUGAGGUAACGGCUCACCAAGGCGUCGACGGGUAGCCGGCCUGAGAGGGUGACCGGCCACACUGGGACUGAGACACGGCCCAGACUCCUACGGGAGGCAGCAGUGGGGAAUAUUGCACAAUGGGCGAAAGCCUGAUGCAGCAACGCCGCGUGAGGGACGACGGCCUUCGGGUUGUAAACCUCUUUUAGCAGGGAAGAAGCGAAAGUGACGGUACCUGCAGAAAAAGCGCCGGCUAACUACGUG